CUCACAGCAGCAAGGAUUCUGAGGAGACCCAAGAAUAGACUGGGGAGAGCUCCCUGGCUGGGGUGGGAUGGAGACGUGGCUGCCAUCCUGCCCUGCCCUUCCCUGGAGGUUCUAGGCUGUGUCUGAGAAGUGUUUCUGCAUAAGAAAUCCUAGGCCUUCAAGGCAGAACAGGACCAGAGAGGCUCUGCAAGUUCAAGAAUGAAGAUAAAGUGAUGAGAACUAAUCUUGGAGUAUUCCAGAAGCAGGGAUGGGGAGUACCCACAGGGUCUUGGUUCCUGCCCAAGCCUGCAUCAUCCAUCCAGGGAGAUUCACCUUGCAUAAGAAGACAUUGGCGGCAGGCUGUUGGAUCGCCGUGUGCUGCCACGCCAGGAAAUUCAGACACAGAGAGACAGCAUAAAGGAGCGUCCACAUGGAGGCACAGGAAGGCGACCAUCUGCAAGCUAAGAAGAGAGGACUCAAGAGAAAAAACCACCUCUUCUGACACUUUGAUCUUGGACUUCCAGACUGCAGAACAGUGAGAAAUACAUGUCUGUUGUUUAUGGCACCUGAUCUGUGGUAUUUUUUAUGGCCGCCUUAGCAUACCAACAUAAGCACCAAAGGACAGCCUCCACAGAUAGCAAUGUGGCAAUAUCUGUC